rnacentral:rRNA from 1 species
GGGGGGUGCAAGCGUUGUUCGGAAUUAUUGGGCGUAAAGAGCGUGUAGGCGGCUGAAUAAGUCAGAUGUGAAAUCCCUGGGCUUAACCCAGGAAGUGCAUUUGAAACUAUUCAGCUUGAGUAGGGGAGAGGAAAGUGGAAUUCCUGGUGUAGAGGUGAAAUUCGUAGAUAUCAGGAGGAACACCGGUGGCGAAGGCGACUUUCUGGCCCUAUACUGACGCUGAGACGCGAGAGCGUGGGUAGCAAACAGGAUUAGAUACCCUGGUAGUCCACGCUGAAAACGAUGUUCACUAGGUGUUGGGGGUAUUGACCCUCUCAGUGCCGCAGCUAACGCAUUAAGUGAACCGCCUGGGGAGUACGGUCGCAAGAUUA